CUAGGAUAAAAGAGUUCAUUCACAAGACAGGAGAUCGGCCUGAGUCCUCUGUGUAGCCCACAAGAUUAUUCACACAGCAGCUUGCGCCUGAGAAACGAGGAACACACGUAUUGUGGAAUCACUAGUGAUGACUGCCAGGGAACAAGAUCAUUCUUGGAAGUCUGACUGUAAUGUGGAUUGUCAUUCAUGACUCAACCUUCAAGGAUAUACUACAAUAAAAAGAAAAAUACGAAGAAAGCUACUGGGAAAAUUUCAGCUGAAAAAACAUGAGCUGGACUUGAACUUAGGUUAACUUCACCUGCCCAGCAAACAAGGCCCAUCCUUUCUUAACUUUGACUUUCUAUGGACAAAUUUAUGUCUGCUAGAUUACAGAGCACUGCAGGAACUUCUGAAACUACAAUUUGAAGUCUCAUCCAUGGAGUGGGCACACUGCCCAGGACCCUUUCUCAACUGGGACUCCAGACAGCGGUUAAUGAGGGACUUCCCAGCAUGCUGUUCAAGUCUAGAUGUUCGUCAGCCCAUUUGGUGAUGUAUGUGCUGUUACUCUUCUUUAUUCUUUCUAUUUCACUUUUCUUUUAAAGAUUGCCUAUUGAAAUUAAGG
ensembl:lncRNA